rnacentral:rRNA from 1 species
CGGGGUUUUCCCCUUUGUUCCCGGCGUGUGUAGCGGGAAGAGCUCAAAUUUGAAAUCUGGUAGCCUUCGGUUGCCCGAGUUGUAAUCUAGAGAAGUGUUUUCCGUGCCGGCCCAUGUACAAGUCCCUUGGAACAGGGCGUCAUAGAGGGUGAGAAUCCCGUCCUUGACAUGGACCCCCGGUGCUUUGUGAUACACUUUCAACGAGUCGAGUUGUUUGGGAAUGCAGCUCAAAAUGGGUGGUGAAUUCCAUCUAAAGCUAAAUAUUGGCGAGAGACCGAUAGCGAACAAGUACCGUGAGGGAAAGAUGAAAAGCACUUUGGAAAGAGAGUUAAACAGUACGUGAAAUUGUUGAAAGGGAAACGAUUGAAGUCAGUCAUGCUCUUGGGACUUACCUCCCUUGAGUGGGGUCAACAUCAGUUUUGAUCGAUGGAUAAAGGCACGGGGAAGGUAGCACUCUCGGGUGAACUUAUAGCCUCGCGUCAUAUACAUUGAUUGGGACUGAGGAACGCAGCAUGCCUUAUGGCCGGGAUUCGUCCACGUACAUGCUUAGGAUGUUGACAUAAUGGCUUUAAACGACCCGUCUUGAAACCACGGACCA